GUACCUGAAAUAUUAAGAUAUUAUUACUAUCAUUAAUAUAGAGUAUAAAAUAAUAAUAGUAAUACAAAUAUUCAUGCUCGCAUGUGCAUCGCAUACGUUGGUGCGUAAGUAUUCGUUUUAUUGUAAACUAAACUCUAAAGUUUCUUUAUUUCUGGUUAAUAUCACUUUGCCAUAUAUAAUGCACAUUUAUUUUAUGUGAAUUAUUGACAUUGAUAAUCAACAUUAAGUACAAUAUAAAAAGAAAUUUAAUGUUGAAAUGUAAAGUUAAUUAUAAAAAAUAUAUAAAACAUAAUUAAAAAUAAUGUCAAAUUUUCAGUUUGAUGUACUUAUUGUUGACUAUAAUAAUUUAUAUACAUCGUAUGUUUUAUAUAUAAACUGGAACAGUAUCUAUAAUAUUGUUAAUAAUGUGGUUAUUAAACACUUCGCGAGUAAGUUCUGUUACCAAAUGAAAGUUAGAUUUGAGAUUAAGUUCCAUCGUUUCUUCACAAAAUAUAUUUCACGAAUGUAGAUCAUUAUAUAUAUUUCACGAAUAGAAUCAUUAAAAUUUGUGCAACAGUAUAAGAAAGAUCGUAAAUUUACCGUCGUGAUAGAAGCGAUGUGACUAUGUCUAAAAUAUUUAUAUACAUAAAUACACAUAUACUUAUAUAUGUAAAUAGACAUAGAAAGCAUAUAUAUAUAUAUACCACAUGAUGCAUUAGUGGUGCUUAAAUUUGACUACACCUCUUGCAGUGAAGGAUCAGUUAAACCUAGCCCAAAACAUAGAGAGGGAUGCAUGGAAAAACAUUGAUUUGUUUAACAGGCUUAGGAUAAAAAUGGAAAGAACUAAGGAUAAAUAAAUAUCAAAAGUAAAAUCUGAGUAUAUGUAUGAAGUAUAUGCAUAUAAAUUAUAAUGUCACUAUAAAAAGAAACAAAACGAUCAUAUUAAUCUCGUUUCUUAAUUAGCGAGUACGAUUUAUUUUCGCAUAUAUAAAAUAAAAUUUAUCAAAAAAAAAAAAAA